rnacentral:rRNA from 1 species
CACAUGCAAGUCGAACGGCAGCACAGCAGAGCUUGCUCUGUGGGUGGCGAGUGGCGGACGGGUGAGUAAUGCAUCGGGACCUACCCAGACGUGGGGGAUAACGUAGGGAAACUUACGCUAAUACCGCAUACGUCCUACGGGAGAAAGCGGGGGACCUUCGGGCCUCGCGCGGUUGGACGGACCGAUGUGCGAUUAGCUAGUUGGUAGGGCAAUGGCCUACCAAGGCGACGAUCGCUAGCUGGUCUGAGAGGAUGAUCAGCCACACUGGGACUGAGACACGGCCCAGACUCCUACGGGAGGCAGCAGUGGGGAAUAUUGGACAAUGGGCGCAAGCCUGAUCCAGCAAUGCCGCGUGUGUGAAGAAGGCCUUCGGGUUAUAAAGCACUUUUAUCAGGAACGAAAUACCACGGGUUAAUAACCUAUGGGGCUGACGGUACCUGAGGAAUAAGCACCGGCUAACUUCGUGCCAGCAGCCGCGGUAAUACGAAGGGUGCAAGCGUUAAUCGGAAUUACUGGGCGUAAAGGGUGCGUAGGCGGUUAUUUAAGUCUGCCGUGAAAUCCCCGGGCUCAACCUGGGAAUGGCGGUGGAUACUGGAUAGCUAGAGUGUGUCAGAGGAUGGUGGAAUUCCCGGUGUAGCGGUGAAAUGCGUAGAGAUCGGGAGGAACAUCAGUGGCGAAGGCGGCCAUCUGGGACAACACUGACGCUGAAGCACGAAAGCGUGGGGAGCAAACAGGAUUAGAUACCCUAGUAGUCCACGCCCUAAACGAUGCGAACUGGAUGUUGGUCUCAACUCGGAGAUCAGUGUCGAAGCUAACGCGUUAAGUUCGCCGCCUGGGGAGUACGGUCGCAAGACUGAACUCAAAGGAAUUGACGGGGGCCCGCACAAGCGGUGGAGUAUGUGGUUUAAUUCGAUGCAACGCGA